rnacentral:rRNA from 1 species
AUUCCAGCUCCAAUAGCGUAUACUAAAGUUGCUGCAGUUAAAAAGCUCGUAGUUGGAUUUCUGGUCGUGGUCGCCGGUCGUGCCCAAACGGGUUCUGUACCUGGCGCCCGCGUCCAUCCUCGGGGAGAGCGUGUCUGGCAUUAAGUUGUCGGGCUCGGGACCCCCGUCAUUUACUGUGAGCAAAAUAGAGUGUUCAAAGCAGGCUUAGGCCAUGAAUACAUUAGCAUGGAAUAAUAAGAUAAGACCUUGGUCUAUUUUGUUGGUUUGCAUUCCAAGGUAAUGAUUAAUAGGGAUAGUUGGGGGUAUUCGUAUUUAAUUGUCAGAGGUGGAAUUCUCGGAUUUGUUAAAGACUAACUUAUGCGAAAGCAUUUGCCAAGGAUGUUUUCAUUA